GUUCACUGCACUGCUUCAGUCUGUUUCAAGAGCCUUAAAUCUUCUGGACACUAUCAGACUAUCACUUGUAGCACAUUCUUUUGCUUCACAGCCUUCAAGAUCCUCACAUCCCUCCGCUCGUGCCGACACCUCCACUCAUGGCAGAGGCAGACGGGGUCGAGGAUGAGCCCUUGGUCGUGAUCCUUCAUCUCCUCAUCCCAUCUCCGAUUCAUCU
rnacentral:lncRNA from 1 species